rnacentral:rRNA from 1 species
AGCAGUCGCCGCGGGAAUACGGAGGGGGCUAGCGUUGUUCGGAAUUACUGGGCGUAAAGCGCACGUAGGCGGCUUUGUAAGUUAGAGGUGAAAGCCCGGAGCUCAACUCCGGAAUUGCCUUUAAGACUGCAGAGCUAGCAAGUGAGAGAGGUGAGUGGAAUUCCGAGUGUAGAGGUGAAAUUCGUAGAUAUUCGGAAGAACACCAGUGGCGAAGGCGGCUCACUGGCUCAUACUGGACGCUGAGGUGCGAAAGCGUGGGGAGCAAACAGGAUUAGAUACCCCAGUAGUCCCUGUCUCUUAUAC